rnacentral:rRNA from 1 species
UGGGGAAUUUUGGACAAUGGGGGAAACCCUGAUCCAGCCAUCCCGCGUGUGCGAUGAAGGCCUUCGGGUUGUAAAGCACUUUUGGCAGGAAAGAAACGUCAUGGGUUAAUACCCCGUGAAACUGACGGUACCUGCAGAAUAAGCACCGGCUAACUACGUGCCAGCAGCCGCGGUAAUACGUAGGGUGCAAGCGUUAAUCGGAAUUACUGGGCGUAAAGCGUGCGCAGGCGGUUCGGAAAGAAAGAUGUGAAAUCCCAGAGCUCAACUUUGGAACUGCAUUUUUAACUACCGGGCUAGAGUGUGUCAGAGGGAGGUGGAAUUACGCGUGUAGCAGUGAAAUGCGUAGAUAUGCGGAGGAACACCGAUGGCGAAGGCAGCCUCCUGGGAUAACACUGACGCUCAUGCACGAAAGCGUGGGGAGCAAACAGG